GCUGAAACACUGGUUCUCAUACAAUUCGCAAAGUUAAGCAAUGCUGAGCCUGGUCAGUACCUAGAUGAGUCACCACUUGGGAAUGUCAAGUGCUGUG